rnacentral:lncRNA from 1 species
CUAGGUCUGCUAGGUCUGCUAGGUCUGCUAGGUCUGCCAGGUCUGCCAGGUCUGCUAGGUCUGCCAGGUCUGCCAGGUCUGCUAGGUCUGCCAGGUCUGCCAGGUCUGCUAGGUCUGCUAGGUCUGCUAGGUCUGCCAGGUCUGCCAGGUCUGCUAGGUCUGCUAGGUCUGCUAGGUCUGCUAGGUCUGCUAGGUCUGCCAGGUCUGCCAGGUCUGCUAGGUCUGCUAGGUCUGCUAGGUCUGCUAGGUCUGCUAGGUCUGCCAGGUCUGCCAGGUCUGCUAGGUCUGCUAGGUCUGCUAGGUCUGCUAGGUCUGCCAGGUCUGCCAGGUCUGCUAGGUCUGCCAGGUCUGCCAGGUCUGCCAGGUCUGCUAGGUCUGCUAGGUCUGCUAGGUCUGCUAGGUCUGCUAGGUCUGCCAGGUCUGCCAGGUCUGCUAGGUCUGCUAGGUCUGCUAGGUCUGCUAGGUCUGCCAGGUCUGCUAGGUCUGCCAGGUCUGCUAGGUCUGCUAGGUCUGCUAGGUCUGCUAGGUCUGCUAGGUCUGCCAGGUCUGCCAGGUCUGCUAGGUCUGCUAGGUCUGCUAGGUCUGCCAGGUCUGCCAGGUCUGCCAGGUCUGCGUUGUGAUAUAUUGUGCGCCUUCAUUCCCGCCGCGCUGAGUCUCGAUGGCCCCGCAGUAGAGCUUCUUUCCGCGAGAUGGCAGGUUGUCCCAGCAGUCGUCCGAACUUGUGUUGUGAGGGCAUCUGUGGCCGUACUGUAAGCCGUACUGUGGCGACGAACUCCCGAACCAAUCGGAGGACAAGAAAAAGCGCAAACAGCAGGUGGUGCUUGGGAAACGAUAUUCUAUAGGGACUGGUGGUAAGACUCUUGGACAGUUCAUAUUCAAACGUUCAGGAAAAUAGCUGCGCACCGUAUGCGCAAACAUCUUCCCGUCCCUCCCGUCUAAGUUAGGCAGCACCCGGCAGCUGGCCCAACGCCAGAGCAGCCAAACACCACCACAAAGCUCUGCCACCCGCUGUUGUAUUCCAGUCGGCUCAGAAACUGUAACCCUUCCACACGACAGCUUUACAUCUAGAAACCCAACGCAGGUUGCCAAAACACCAGCGAUGAGCAGAGACACGCACGCCCCUAAGAAUCACCAACGCCAUGUCCUCUUUCAAUCUCCUGUCCAAAAAUUGCGGUAUACGACUCAAAUCAAUCCUCAGGUGCGUGGUCGUGAUGAACCUGUCAAUGAAGGCCACUCGAAUAUCGCAAUAUCACAAAGCAAUCCUCAACCAACAGCGCAAUAAGGAACACCGAAUCACGUGCAUGGGUGCUUAAUGCAAAGGCCGUCGUACAAAUGCGUACGACACCAUACAUGGCGACCGCCAUUGGGCGGAGGAUUGCGCAGGGUUGCGCCAUAUGCGGGUGCAUGUCUAUCUGUAUGUAUGCACGCGUGGCAGACGUAAGGAAAGACCCGGGUAAAUUACCGAACACAUGUACAUAACCUAUAUUUUGUUUAUGUAUUUAUGUGUGCACGCACAGGUCAUUAUGCCCCAUUCUCCCUCCGCCUUAUCUUCCCCAUCCCAACUCUCGCCGUCCCCGAAACCAAACCAAUCCAAACUAAUCAAGCCACACACACACACCCUUUCACCUACCUCCCGGCGUCGCAG